CAUGCGCGGUCUGCCUCCCGCGGCGGGCCGGGUCUCCAGGGAGGACCUGAGUUUUCUUCACCCAUUGUCAGGGAGGCGCCAUCGCCCUGGCUUUGGGGCUGGGGCCUCCGGGGAGGUUCCGGUAGGGGCGUUGGAGAGGCCGCUCUUUUUGCAAGGCCCGAGACGGCGGGCCCUGCGCAGGCCGCCCUAUUCCGCGCCCUCAGGGCGUCAGUAUCAGCCUGAGGCUGGAUACCCCCGCUGGGCCCGGAUGACCCCGCUGGGCCCGGAGCAUCCUCCGGCGCUGCCCUCCCAGAGCCACGCAGAGGCUGAGGUGGCGCGGGGGCGGCCCCGGCUCCGCGAGAAGCGGCGGCAGCGAGGGCUGGAGGACCCGGGCUGCGGGGCUCCGGGGCGUCUGGCCUGGGUGGGACUGAGCCCAUCCAGGGACUGGGACUCUGGGAUUCUGGUGUAGGUGGAUCCGGGGCAGGCUCAGGACCAAGUCCCUCUCCUUCCACCAAGGAGCGCCCAGAGGCCGGCGGGAGCUCCAGGUUCACCUCCUCCUCCUCCAGGAAAUCCCACUUCCAGCUAGAUGUCUGCAUGAACUACUGAAAGCUGCUGAGUGUCUUGCAGCAGCUUGACUACCACACAAAUGAAUCCAUUCAAAUGUUGGCAAGUGGAGCAGAGUCCCAGGACAGGUACAGAAACACCCCCAGUUCAAGAAUCUUCACAUCUGAAUUUAGUCCUACACCUGCAACUACCCCAGCUACUUACACCAAGAUGAAGAUAAUUUAUUAGUUCAG
rnacentral:lncRNA from 1 species